AUGUCAGCACUGAAACUCGAGAAACAAGUUUCUCUGAAAUCUCUGGAUCAUCUUACAUUCUGGCAAUUUCUACCUUCUGUUAGUGAAGGUAGUCAUCUCUUUCCAACUAGAUGGGAACACAGACUUCUGAGAAGCCACACCUUAAAACUGAGGACAGAAGUAUGUGAGACCAGGUACUCCAACCCCCAUGCCCAACCACACACACAGAGGAAACCAGAAAUCUGUAACAGCAUACCAACCUUGGCCUUCAGGUUCUCUCUCCUUCUGGGCCCUCAGGAGAGCCCACGGGUGUGCUGCAGCAGCUGGGAUUUUGGAUUUUGGGGUCUCUCCCUAUGUGUCAAAGUGUGAGACUCUGUUUUCCAGAUCUGCAGUGAACAAAACUUUCCCUGCCACCCACUGAAACGGAGCUUGAACUCACCUUCUCAGAAAGAUCAAUUCUGAUACAGCUAGCAGGCCCAGUGCGCUUCUGAGCCUACCUAUAUAGAACCUAGAUCAUCACACCCAGAACCUUCUCAUUUCCUAAUCAAGCCCAGCUCACUACCUGCAGGAUUCAGCUCUUUUGGUCCUGAUUAUAGUGGGAACAGGGAAGGAUUGGGGAAUGCAGGAUUGUCACAUCAAGGCUUAGGCUGAAAAUUCCCCAG
rnacentral:lncRNA from 1 species